GGGCAACCCUGAUCCAGCCAUGCCGCGUGAGUGAAGAAGGCCUUCGGGUUGUAAAGCUCUUUCGGACGGAAAGAAAACGGAUGGGUUAAUACCCUGUUCGGAUGACGGUACCAUAGGAGGAAGCUCCGGCUAACUACGUGCCAGCAGCCGCGGUAAUACGUAGGGAGCAAGCGUUGUCCGGAAUUACUGGGCGUAAAGGGUGCGUAGGUGGCCAAAUAAGUCAGGUGUGAAAGACCGGGGCUCAACCCCGGGGUUGCACUUGAAACUGUAUGGCUUGAGUACAGGAGAGGGAAGUGGAAUUCCUAGUGUAGCGGUGAAAUGCGUAGAUAUUAGGAGGAACACCAGUGGCGAAGGCGACUUUCUGGACUGUAACUGACACUGAGGCACGAAAGCGUGGGGAGCAAACA
rnacentral:rRNA from 2 species